GAUCAAGCGACUAAGUGCAUCUGGUGGAUGCCUUGGCGAUCAUAGGCGAUGAAGGACGUGUAAGCCUGCGAAAAGCGCGGGGGAGCUGGCAAUAGAGCAUUGAUCCCGCGAUGUCCGAAUGGGGAAACCCACCUCUUUUGAGGUAUCCCUGGCUGAAUCCAUAGGCCAGCGGAGGCGAACCCGGCGAACUGAAACAUCUAAGUAGCCGGAGGAAAAGAAAUCAACCGAGAUUCCGCAAGUAGUG
rnacentral:rRNA from 1 species